rnacentral:tRNA from 1 species
GGUUUGUGGUUCAGCAGUAGAAUGCUCGCCUUACAUGUGCAAGACCCUGGGUUCGAUCCUCAGCACCA